AAUAAACGCUGGCGGCAGGCCUAACACAUGCAAGUCGAACGGAGUUAUAUUGUAGCUUGCUAUGGUAUAACUUAGUGGCAGACGGGUGAGUAAUGUAUAGGAAUCUACCUAGUAGUACGGAAUAAUUGUUGGAAACGGCAACUAAUACCGUAUGCGCCCUACGGGGGAAAAAUUUAUUGCUAUUAGAUGAGCCUAUAUUAGAUUAGUUAGUUGGUGAGGUAAAGGCUUACCAAGACAAUGAUCUAUAGCUGAUCUGAGAGGAUGAUCAGCCACACUGGAACUGAGAUACGGUCCAGACUCCUACGGGAGGCAGCAGUGGGGAAUAUUGGACAAUGGGCGAAAGCCUGAUCCAGCCAUGCCGCAUGAGUGAAGAAGGCCUUCGGGUUGUAAAGCUCUUUUAGUGAGGAAGAUAAUGACGGUACUCACAGAAGAAGUCCUGGCUAACUCCGUGCCAGCCGCCGCCGUAACAC
rnacentral:rRNA from 1 species